GCCGCGGCCGAAGAUUCCCGGGAUUCCGCUGAGGCCGGCUCGGAAAUUCGGGAAUCGGAGCUUUCCCAAAGGAAACGUUCCCCGGAGCGGGAAGGGAGCGGAGAGGACGGAAAAGGGACGGAGCCGAGGGAAGAGGGAGCUCCUGGGUCAGAGGCUGCGGCGAGCGAGGAAUCCGCGGAUCCCGGCGGGAAGGAUUCCGAGGAUUCCUGCGUGCUCCUCGUUUCCAACCUGCCCGACAAGGGAUAUUCCGAGGAGGAAAUCUCCAACCUGGCCAAACCCUUCGGAGGC